rnacentral:rRNA from 1 species
AAAUUGAAGAGUUUGAUCAUGGCUCAGAUUGAACGCUGGCGGCAGGCCUAACACAUGCAAGUCGAGCGGAAACGAGUUAUCUGAACCUUCGGGGAACGAUAACGGCGUCGAGCGGCGGACGGGUGAGUAAUGCCUAGGAAAUUGCCCUGGUGUGGGGGAUAACCAUUGGAAACGAUGGCUAAUACCGCAUAAUGCCUACGGGCCAAAGAGGGGGACCUUCGGGCCUCUCGCGUCAGGAUAUGCCUAGGUGGGAUUAGCUAGUUGGUGAGGUAAUGGCUCACCAAGGCGACGAUCCCUAGCUGGUCUGAGAGGAUGAUCAGCCACACUGGAACUGAGACACGGUCCAGACUCCUACGGGAGGCAGCAGUGGGGAAUAUUGCACAAUGGGCGCAAGCCUGAUGCAGCCAUGCCGCGUGUGUGAAGAAGGCCUUCGGGUUGUAAAGCACUUUCAGUCGUGAGGAAGGUAGUGUAGUUAAUAGCUGCAUUAUUUGACGUUAGCGACAGAAGAAGCACCGGCUAACUCCGUGCCAGCAGCCGCGGUAAUACGGAGGGUGCGAGCGUUAAUCGGAAUUACUGGGCGUAAAGCGCAUGCAGGUGGUUUGUUAAGUCAGAUGUGAAAGCCCGGGGCUCAACCUCGGAAUAGCAUUUGAAACUGGCAGACUAGAGUACUGUAGAGGGGGGUAGAAUUUCAGGUGUAGCGGUGAAAUGCGUAGAGAUCUGAAGGAAUACCGGUGGCGAAGGCGGCCCCCUGGACAGAUACUGACACUCAGAUGCGAAAGCGUGGGGAGCAAACAGGAUUAGAUACCCUGGUAGUCCACGCCGUAAACGAUGUCUACUUGGAGGUUGUGGCCUUGAGCCGUGGCUUUCGGAGCUAACGCGUUAAGUAGACCGCCUGGGGAGUACGGUCGCAAGAUUAAAACUCAAAUGAAUUGACGGGGGCCCGCACAAGCGGUGGAGCAUGUGGUUUAAUUCGAUGCAACGCGAAGAACCUUACCUACUCUUGACAUCCAGAGAACUUUCCAGAGAUGGAUUGGUGCCUUCGGGAACUCUGAGACAGGUGCUGCAUGGCUGUCGUCAGCUCGUGUUGUGAAAUGUUGGGUUAAGUCCCGCAACGAGCGCAACCCUUAUCCUUGUUUGCCAGCGAGUAAUGUCGGGAACUCCAGGGAGACUGCCGGUGAUAAACCGGAGGAAGGUGGGGACGACGUCAAGUCAUCAUGGCCCUUACGAGUAGGGCUACACACGUGCUACAAUGGCGCAUACAGAGGGCAGCAAGCUAGCGAUAGUGAGCGAAUCCCAAAAAGUGCGUCGUAGUCCGGAUUGGAGUCUGCAACUCGACUCCAUGAAGUCGGAAUCGCUAGUAAUCGUGGAUCAGAAUGCCACGGUGAAUACGUUCCCGGGCCUUGUACACACCGCCCGUCACACCAUGGGAGUGGGCUGCAAAAGAAGUAGGUAGUUUAACCUUCGGGAGGACGCUUACCACUUUGUGGUUCAUGACUGGGGUGAAGUCGUAACAAGGUAGCGCUAGGGGAACCUGGCGCUGGAUCACCUCCUUAAACGAUGAU